AGCAAAGCUGUGUUUCCUGGGGAAAAGUGUGGCAUCUUCAGUUUACAUCAACUUGCUCUCAUCUGAGACAAAACUCUGUGUGUCCCUGCUGCGAUGGAUGCCAGAUAGAGCCUGCUUGCCUAGGAUGGGGACAGAUGCCAUUGGAAACAGGGAUCAAUCCUCGGAGCCCUUCAUUACUUGACGUGGGAACCCAGGUGUGAGCAUGAUUAGCGGCGUUUAGGUGGAGCGCUUUCUGGGACAAGGUUGCAUUAGUCCGCCAGGCCGUCAAACCGGGUGCUCCUCCCAUGCUUUUUCAGGCAGAAAAUCUCUUAAAUUGAAUAAUUGUCAUUUUCCAGCCCUCAGUGAGGCCAGAAAUCACUAGAAAUCUCAUUUAAACUUUCCCUCCUCGUUCUCAAGCAAAUUUACAACAGCGGCCAGUACUUUUGCAAGAUCGCUGGAGAGAAUUCAUCAUCAGAAUAGAGUGCCUCCCUGUGUAUGAUAUGGUUAAUAUUGAUUAUAAAUCACAAUCAACUCUGCAAGUCCCGCCCAUCUCCCUGGACUCCCCUUGCCCACCCCCUACAGAAACUAUUCUCUGCCCUUCACCUGCUGUGAAAUGCUGUUUUGAAUAUUUCUCCUUUAAAAUGGAAUCGCCACUUCCAACUGUAUUUAUCUAGAUUGCAAGACCAUCACGAUGACUUCACGUCAGUGCCAGCAUAUGCAGCCGUGGAAUACAGUGAGCGCUCUCUGCGGCUGACAGCAAUAGCGGUGAUCUAAUUUACCCGGCGACUGGAAGAAACUCUUUGUACAGGCUCUGGGUCCCUUUGGAUUAGUGACUUCAAGGUCAACUGGAGGAGAAAGGAAGCAGGGCUGAGGGUCACCCUCUCCUGUCUCAUUUGCAUGCUCUUGAAUAUAUGAUUUUAAGAAACAUGCGUUUUUGAUCUGCAAUGUAAAAAUUCCUCAAUGAUUUUUUGUACAGAUGUGCAGAAUACAGGAAUGAAAUAAAAUAUUGAGAAUU
rnacentral:lncRNA from 1 species